UACGUAGGGGGCAAGCGUUGUCCGGAAUCAUUGGGCGUAAAGCGCGUGUAGGCGGCCACGUAAGUCCGCUCUGAAAGCCCGGGGCUCAACCCCGGGAGGCGGGUGGAUACGUGCGUGGCUCGAGUCCGGAAGAGGCGAGUGGAAUUCCCGGUGUAGCGGUGAAAUGCGCAGAUAUCGGGAGGAACACCAAUGGCGAAGGCAGCUCGCUGGGACGUGACUGACGCUGAGACGCGAAAGCGUGGGGAGCAAACAGGG
rnacentral:rRNA from 1 species